rnacentral:rRNA from 1 species
AGGGUGACAGCCCCGUACACAAAAGCGCAUGUGCUGUGAGCUCGAUGAGUAGGGCGGGACACGUGGUAUCCUGUCUGAAUAUGGGGGGACCAUCCUCCAAGGCUAAAUACUCCUGACUGACCGAUAGUGAACCAGUACCGUGAGGGAAAGGCGAAAAGAACCCCGGCGAGGGGAGUGAAAAAGAACCUGAAACCGUGUACGUACAAGCAGUGGGAGCACCCUUUGGGGUGUGACUGCGUACCUUUUGUAUAAUGGGUCAGCGACUUAUAUUCUGUAGCAAGGUUAACCGUAUAGGGGAGCCG